UAAAAAAAGGUAAGCUACUAAGAGCGAAUGGUGGAUGCCUUGACUGGUAAAGGCGAUGAAGGACGUACUAGACUGCGAUAAGCUACGGGGAGCUGUCAAGAAGCUUUGAUCCGUAGAUUUCCGAAUGGGGCAACCCAAUGUAUAGAGAUAUACAUUACCUAUAUAGGAGCGAACGAGGGGAAUUGAAACAUCUUAGUACCCUCAGGAAAAGAAAUCAAUAGAGAUUGCGUCAGUAGCGGCGAGCGAAAGCGCAAGAGGGCAAACCCAGUGCUUGCACUGGGGGUUGUAGGACUGCAAUGUGCAAGAGCUGAGUUUAGCAGAACAUUCUGGAAAGUAUAGCCAUAGAGGGUGAUAGUCCCGUAUGCGAAAAACAAAGCUUAGCUAGCAGUAUCCUGAGUAGGGCGGGACACGAGGAAUCCUGUCUGAAUCCGGGUCGACCACGAUCCAACCCUAAAUACUAAUACCAGAUCGAUAGUGCACAAGUACCGUGAGGGAAAGGUGAAAAGAACUGAGGUGAUCAGAGUGAAAUAGAACCUGAAACCAUUUGCUUACAAUCAUUCAGAGCACUAUGUAGCAAUACAGUGUGAUGGACUGCCUUUUGCAUAAUGAGCCUGCGAGUUGUGGUGUCUGGCAAGGUUAAGCAAACGCGAAGCCGUAGCGAAAGCGAGUCUGAAUAGGGCGCUUAGUCAGAUGCUGCAGACCCGAAACGAAGUGAUCUAUCCAUGAGCAAGUUGAAGCUAGUGUAAGAACUAGUGGAGGACUGAACCCAUAGGCGUUGAAAAGCCCCGGGAUGACUUGUGGAUAGGGGUGAAAGGCCAAUCAAACUUCGUGAUAGCUGGUUCUCUCCGAAAUAUAUUUAGGUAUAGCGUUGUGUCGUAAUAUAAGGGGGUAGAGCACUGAAUGGGCUAGGGCAUACACCAAUGUACCAAACCCUAUCAAACUCCGAAUACCUUAUAUGUAAUCACAGCAGUCAGGCGGCGAGUGAUAAAAUCCGUCGUCAAGAGGGAAACAACCCAGACUACCAGCUAAGGUCCCUAAAUCUUACUUAAGUGGAAAACGAUGUGAAGUUACUUAAACAACCAGGAGGUUGGCUUAGAAGCAGCCAUCCUUUAAAGAAAGCGUAAUAGCUCACUGGUCUAGUGAUUUUGCGCGGAAAAUAUAACGGGGCUAAAGUAAGUACCGAAGCUGUAGACUUGCACACAACUUAGAUUAUUUAAGUUUAGAAUAUGAGAAACUAAGUUAUAUGUUUAGUUAUAUUUUUACUGAUUUUUAUAGAGUAAAGAUAGAAAUAAAACUUAAUAAAAUCAGUAAAAAUAUUCUUAGGCUAAAGUUAAGUAGUUUAAGUUGUGUGCAAGUGGUAGGAGAGCGUUCUAUUUGCGUCGAAGGUAUACCGGUAAGGAGUGCUGGAGCGAAUAGAAGUGAGCAUGCAGGCAUGAGUAGCGAUAAUUAAUGUGAGAAUCAUUAACGCCGUAAACCCAAGGUUUCCUACGCGAUGCUCGUCAUCGUAGGGUUAGUCGGGUCCUAAGUCGAGUCCGAAAGGGGUAGACGAUGGCAAAUUGGUUAAUAUUCCAAUACCAACAUUAGUGUGCGAUGGAAGGACGCUUAGGGCUAAGGGGGCUAGCGGAUGGAAGUGCUAGUCUAAGGUUGUAGGAGGUUAUACAGGCAAAUCCGUAUAACAAUACUCCGAGAACUGAAAGGCUUUUUGAAGUCUUCGGAUGGAUAGAAGAACCCCUGAUGCCGUCGAGCCAAGAAAAGUUUCUAAGUUUAGCUAAUGUUGCCCGUACCGUAAACCGACACAGGUGGGUGGGAUGAGUAUUCUAAGGCGCGUGGAAGAACUCUCUUUAAGGAACUCUGCAAAAUAGCACCGUAUCUUCGGUAUAAGGUGUGGUUAGCUUCGUACUAGGAUUUACUCCGAAAGCGAAGAAACUUACAACAAAGAGUCCCUCCCGACUGUUUACCAAAAACACAGCACUCUGCUAACUCGUAAGAGGAUGUAUAGGGUGUGACGCCUGCCCGGUGCUCGAAGGUUAAUUGAUGGGGUUAGCAUUAGCGAAGCUCUUGAUCGAAGCCCGAGUAAACGGCGGCCGUAACUAUAACGGUCCUAAGGUAGCGAAAUUCCUUGUCGGUUAAAUACCGACCUGCAUGAAUGGCGUAACGAGAUGGGAGCUGUCUCAAAGAGGGAUCCAGUGAAAUUGUAGUGGAGGUGAAAAUUCCUCCUACCCGCGGCAAGACGGAAAGACCCCGUGGACCUUUACUACAGCUUGACACUGCUACUUGGAUAAGAAUGUG
rnacentral:rRNA from 1 species